rnacentral:rRNA from 1 species
AUGAACGCUGGCGGCGUGCCUAACACAUGCAAGUCGAACGAAGCUUGACGGAUGAUUUCUUCGGAAUGAAACCAGAUAUGACUUAGUGGCGGACGGGUGAGUAACACGUGAGCAACCUGCCUUUCAGAGGGGGAUAACGGCUGGAAACGGUCGCUAAUACCGCAUGAUGUGUUCGGAUGGCAUCAUCUGAACAUCAAAGAUUUAUCGCUGAAAGAUGGGCUCGCGUCUGAUUAGAUAGUUGGUGGGGUAACGGCCUACCAAGUCUACGAUCAGUAGCCGGACUGAGAGGUUGAACGGCCACAUUGGGACUGAGAUACGGCCCAGACUCCUACGGGAGGCAGCAGUGGGGAAUAUUGCACAAUGGGGGAAACCCUGAUGCAGCAACGCCGCGUGAAGGAUGACGGUUUUCGGAUUGUAAACUUCUUUUCUUAGUGACGAAGACAGUGACGGUAGCUAAGGAAUAAGCAUCGGCUAACUACGUGCCAGCAGCCGCGGUAAUACGUAGGAUGCAAGCGUUAUCCGGAUUUACUGGGUGUAAAGGGAGCGCAGGCGGGACUGCAAGUUGGAUGUGAAAUACCGUGGCUUAACCACGGAACUGCAUCCAAAACUGUAGUUCUUGAGUGAAGUAGAGGCAAGCGGAAUUCCGAGUGUAGCGGUGAAAUGCGUAGAUAUUCGGAGGAACACCAGUGGCGAAGGCGGCUUGCUGGGCUUUAACUGACGCUGAGGCUCGAAAGUGUGGGGAGCAAACAGGAUUAGAUACCCUGGUAGUCCACACUGUAAACGAUGAUAGCUAGGUGUGGGGGGUCUGACCCCUUCCGU